CCUACGGGUGGCAGCAGUAGGGAAUCUUUCACAAUGGGCGAAAGCCUGAUGGAGCAACGCCGCGUGCAGGAUGAAGGCCUUCGGGUUGUAAACUGCUUUUCUCAGGGACGAAGCAAGUGACGGUACCUGAGGAAUAAACCACGGCUAACUACGUGCCAGCAGCAGCGGUAAUCCGUAGGUGGCAAGCGUUAUCCGGAUUUAAUGGGUGUAAAGGGCGUGUAGGCGGGAAAGCAAGUCAGAUGUGAAAACCAUGGGCUCAACCUGUGGCCUGCAUUUGAAACUGUUUUUCUUGAGUACUGGAGAGGCAGACGGAAUUCCUAGUGUAGCGGUGAAAUGCGUAGAUAUUAGGAGGAACACCAGUGGCGAAGGCGGUCUGCUGGACAGCAACUGACGCUGAGGCGCGAAAGCGUGGGGAGCAAACAGGAUUAGAUACCCUUGUAGUC
rnacentral:rRNA from 1 species